rnacentral:rRNA from 1 species
GUCGAGCGCACUCUUCGGAGUGAGCGGCGGACGGGUUAGUAACGCGUGGGAACGUGCCCUUCUCUAAGGAAUAGCCACUGGAAACGGUGAGUAAUACCUUAUACGCCCUUCGGGGGAAAGAUUUAUCGGAGAAGGAUCGGCCCGCGUUAGAUUAGAUAGUUGGUGGGGUAAUGGCCUACCAAGUCUACGAUCUAUAGCUGGUUUUAGAGGAUGAUCAGCAACACUGGGACUGAGACACGGCCCAGACUCCUACGGGAGGCAGCAGUGGGGAAUCUUGGACAAUGGGCGCAAGCCUGAUCCAGCCAUGCCGCGUGAGUGAUGAAGGCCUUAGGGUCGUAAAGCUCUUUCGCCAGAGAUGAUAAUGACAGUAUCUGGUAAAGAAACCCCGGCUAACUCCGUGCCAGCAGCCGCGGUAAUACGGAGGGGGUUAGCGUUGUUCGGAAUUACUGGGCGUAAAGCGCACGUAGGCGGAUCAGAAAGUAUAGGGUGAAAUCCCAGGGCUCAACCCUGGAACUGCCUUGUAAACUCCUAAUCUUGAGUUCGAGAGAGGUGAGUGGAAUUCCGAGUGUAGAGGUGAAAUUCGUAGAUAUUCGGAGGAACACCAGUGGCGAAGGCGGCUCACUG